AUUGAACGCUGGCGGCAGGCCUAACACAUGCAAGUCGCGCGAGCGGCGGACGGGUGCGUAAUGUCUGGGCAACUGCCUGAUGGCGUGGGAUAACUACUGGAAACGGUAGCUAAUACCGCAUACCAUCAGAUGCGCCCAGCUGGGAUUAGCUAUUAGUUGGGGUAACGGCUCACCUAGGCGACGAUCCCUAGCUGGUCUGAGAGGAUGACCAGCCACACUGGAACUGAGAGACGGUCCAGACUCCGACGGGAGGCAGCAGUGGGGAAUAUUGCACAAUGGGCGCAAGCCUGAUACAGCCAUGCCGCGUGUGUGAAGAAGGCCUUCGGGGUGUAAAGCACUUGCAGCGGGGAGGCGUUACCCGCAGAAGAAGCACCGGCUAACUCCGUGCCAGCAGCCGCGGUAAUUC
rnacentral:rRNA from 1 species